rnacentral:lncRNA from 1 species
UGUUCGGAAACGGGUUUUCGACUCAUACUUUAUCGAGUCAGCUCGUAUUCGACUCGUUUAUUAACUAGCCGAACACGACUUGAUUCACGAGCUAGCAAAUAAAUAAUAAGUUAAAAAGAUUAGAUUGAACGUAUAUAAAAAAUAAAUUUAUAAAAUCGUAUCCAUUAGAUUUUAAUUUAAUGGUUGAAAUUUUACAUAUAAAUGAGUCUUUUUUAUAAUUGUGCCCGUCUUCAUAUUUUUAUUUUGCUAGAAAUUAAAUAAUAAAAAUAUAUAUUAUAUAUAUAAUUAUUUAUUUAUAUAUAUAAAUAUAAAUUAAAUAAAUUAUAUAAAUAUAAAAUAUAUGUAUUCGAGCUGUUAUUGAGUCGAACACGAGCGAGCUGAUCCCAACUCAUGUUCGGCUCGUUUAUUAAACUAACCGAAAAAUUCAGCUCGUGUUCAACUCGUUUACUAAACGAGCGAUUCGAUCUCGAGCUCAUUUCGAACCGAACACGAACUGGCUCACGAAUGGCAAGAUGGAUUGUCACCCCUAAGGGAGAGACAACUUCUUUUUAAACUGAUACUAAACAAAUUUAUAUAAUUAACUAAAUAACC